rnacentral:rRNA from 1 species
UACAGAGGUCUCAAGCGUUGUUCGGAUUCAUUGGGCGUAAAGGGUGCGUAGGCGGCGCGGUAAGUCGGGUGUGAAAUCUUGGAGCUUAACUCCGAAACUGCAUUCGAUACUGCCGUGCUUGAGGACUGGAGAGGAGACUGGAAUUUACGGUGUAGCGGUGAAAUGCGUAGAUAUCGGAAGGAACACCAGUGGCGAAAGCGGCUUCCUGGUCCAGCAUCGACGUUCAGGCACGAAAGCGUGGGGAGCAAACAGG